GCAGCCAUCUGUUUCAAGAGGUGUAUUUGGAAAAAUACAACAGGCUUGUGCGGCUCUUCCCAGCAGGUUAUCAUGUUUGCCAGAAAUUUUAUUUUAUGUGAUCUCUUACAGUUUUGUUAUUGAGAUUAUGCUUCUGCUGCCUGCUGGUGGAUUUUUUUAUCGUUCAAUUAUUUUUUGUACUCGUAGGAAGCUGUAAAUUUGAUAGUAGUUUACUUUAUUGUAGGUGAUUCAGUCCCAGUGGUGGUGGUGGUUGUGUUUAGGCUUGUGUAGAAUAAACAGGAUAUCUAUACUGAUAAUUAUGUUAAACAUGUAUUCGUGACCCAAACAGAUUUAGGUAGCAAUUUAUAGAUUAUAUGGAAAUGGAAUUAUUGGAAACGGGUAAACAGCUAUGUUCAGGUUCUAGGCAUGAAUAUAACAAGACUAUUUUAUUAAAUAUAUUGUAUUGAACAGAGACAGCCUCCUCGUUUAUUAAAAACUUAUCCAAUGUAAUGACAUAACAAUAUUGUUCUAUGGAUUUUGAUAUUAGGUCUAUCUCAUAAUGUUUGCAACUUAAUUCUACUAAUAAAGAAAAUUUAUCUUCCUUCUCAUUUAAUUAAAUAGUAAAAUUUCUCUUUUUAUAUAUUCAAAAUAUAAUUUUUUGAAAAUUAGGGUUCAUCAAUUUGUAGCACAGUCAACAAUGCGAUAUGCGUAAUUUAUUACUUUCUUUAAUAAUUAACUUCAUCUAGAAUGUUUUGAAGUUCCCAUUUCUACAUGAAGCUCAACAAGGUUUAAUUCCAAUCUCAAAUGAAUGGAAAGCUUGGUUAUUUGUGCCCCUUGAAUGUUGACAUUGAAUGAAUCGUGACGCUAAAUGUAUGAAACACUUUAUUGUAGAAGGACCCAAGGGUGGCAUGCAGAAAUCUCAUCAUUACUUUUUUUCCCCUGUUGGAUGUCCCCUUCUUUAUUCUUUUUGAGAAAUUAACCUUGCAUUUCUUGCUUCACUCUCAAUAUGUCAUUUCAAUGCAGCGUAUUUGAAGCUGAAAGGCCAGGAUGUAAAUUCUCUGUGAAGCAGCGCAUUGCUACAUACUUCUAUAAGGGGGUAUUAUACGGUUCAGUUGGGUUUGGGUGUGGACUCAUUGGCCAAGGCAUUGCUAAUCUGAUCAUGACUGCCAAACGGUACACUUCUGUCUAGAUGAUUACUAUUUGGUUUCUGUUCUUAUUAUCAUACUUGAUUGUGAUUUUAAAAUGUGAUUAACAUGUUAUUGUGUUCCAACUUCAAAUCUGUGUGUUAACUGUGCAACAUAUGCAUUGUUUUAUUUAUUUAUUUUUCUUUCUUUCUAUUUAACUGAUCAAAUUGGUUUGGCAUAUGGGCCACAAGCUCGAACAUCAGUAUUUGGCAACUUCAUUUAUAUCCAAUAAAGUUAUAUUGUGUAUUAUUUAAUUUGUCAUGAUGAAUUUGCCAGUGAAAUUUUUUCAGCAAGUUAGUGAUGCAAUUUCUUGCAUGUCACCGGAUUAACAUUUGUCCUUCCAGCUGGCUAAGCAUUUGGAAGAACAUAUCCCACACAAGAGGAUAUCAGUACCUAUGGAGAGAUCCUCUCCAUUUUACUUUUUUUUCUCCUGUUUCUCAUGUUAUCUUCAUCUUCCUUCCAACUUCCAUUAAUUGCCGAAUCUGAUUAAGAGUUCUAUUUCCAUCUUUUCUUAUCCAAAAAGGAGUUCUACUGUAAUGAUAUAGUCUUUUAGCAUAGGCUGUUUGUUGUUUCUAUUUUUUUGAAGGCAGGUAAUGACCUUUUUUCCCCUUAUAUUCAGGAGCAUAAAGAAAUCAGAAGAGGAUAUUCCAGUUCCACCUCUUGUGCAAAGUGCUGUUCUUUGGGGUAUGUCUUUAUUCAAUGUUAAUGUGCCAACCUUUGGUUUCUAAUUCUGCUCCAAUGUUACUUUUGCAUUUUUUUCAGAACUAUUUCUAUUUAUCUGAGCAUUUAUAUUAUUAGUGUUCUAUAUUUAGUUCAGGUUUGAGAAGAUAUUAAUAUUUAAAAUUCUAUUUUCACUGCAAAUCGCUACUAUUUUAAACAACAAUAUGUAUUAUUCAUUACGGUAUAUUUAUACUGGAAAAUUUUCUUUGAAUGAUUUAGUCAGGUGAAACUUGAUAUUUGAUGCCUUCCAUCAGCAUAGUAAUCACUCUCAUAUGAUAAGUUUUUAAUCUUUCAAUCUCAUGCUUCUUCCUGCUAUUUUGCCUUUGUUGAUCAGGUGUUUUUCUUGCUGUAUCUUCCAAUACUCGUUACCAAAUCAUUAAUGGACUGGAACGCCUGGUUGAAGCAUCACCUUUGGCAAAGCAAGUCCCUCCUGUUGCAAUGACGUUCACUGUUGGUGUAAGAUUUGCCAACAAUAUAUAUGGUGGGAUGCAGUUCGUAGAUUGGGCAAAGAUGAGUGGGGUGCAGUAAUGGCAAGUCAUUUGUACAAGGCAUGCCUCUUUUUGACCAUUGAAUGCACUUUUCUCCACACUAUGAAAAGAACAUCCACGGACGUGUUUGUGGGAGAGAGAAACAGAGAUAUUUAUACAUGUUAUUUAAAUUUAGCAUCAGGUGUC
rnacentral:misc_RNA from 1 species